GACGAACGCUGGCGGCGUGCCUAACACAUGCAAGUCGAACGGAACCUAGAUGUUAGACUGUAGAUGUUAGAAAUUAGAACAAGGACAUGGUUGGAACUUUAAGAUUGAGCCUAAGGCUUGAGGGACCAUUGUCUUAGAUUUAAAAUCUAAAAUCUAAUGUCUAGAGUCUAACAUCUAGGCUUAGUGGCGGACGGGCGAGUAACGCGUGAGCAACCUGCCCUUAAGAGGGGGACAACGACUGGAAACGGUCGCUAAUACCGCAUGACAUAUCGGGAUGGCAUCAUCUUGAUAUCAAAGGAGAAAUCCGCUUAAGGAUGGGCUCGCGUCCGAUUAGCUAGUUGGUGGGGUAACGGCCCACCAAGGCGACGAUCGGUAGCCGAACUGAGAGGUUGAUCGGCCGCAUUGGGACUGAGACACGGCCCAGACUCCUACGGGAGGCAGCAGUGGGGGAUAUUGCACAAUGGAGGAAACUCUGAUGCAGCAACGCCGCGUGA
rnacentral:rRNA from 1 species